rnacentral:misc_RNA from 1 species
UGAGCAAUCAUCACGCUAAUGCACCGCUUGGGUUAAUGUAAUUUUGUAUGUGCUUAUUCAUUGCGAGAAGGCUAGACAUUUACUGACCUCUGUAUUAUAGCUCGUCAUAUAUUUUAAAUAACGUAGAUCCUGUAAUUGGAAUAAGAGGUGCCUAAAAAUUAAACAGGAAUGUGGAAGUGUGUUGAAACAACAGCGUUUAUGGCGAUAGUUUGUUUCACAGUAAGCCAAAGUGAUCCAUUCGAGGUUCUUCAAAAUGUAGGCGGGACGUUUGACAUAAAACAUUCUGAAAGCCAGUAUAAGAGUACAAGCACGAUAUCAACUCUAUUUAUUCCUGGACAUGACGAGUUGGAUUCGCCAGGAACAUCGAAUAUUGUAGACAGAUAUACAUGUACCGACUAUAAAAUGACGCUAUCAAUCCAAAAGUCUUCUCAACCAAAAAACGUAUUCCUCAACAUGUCCCUGCCUGGAAGUGUGACUAGACACGACCAACCAACAUGUACUGUAAAUUGGGGAGAUGGAACAGCAGACUCUGUGGUUCAGUUUGAAAAUGACACAAAAGCCGUAAAUCAUGGUUAUACGGAUUUCGGAAUAUAUCAAGUGAGUAUAGACUGUAUGUCUAUGCAAGGUGACGUUGGAAUCUGCCCGGAACGGUAUUCAGAGUGUUUCGAAACAUCCAAUUUCUUUGACGAUGUCCACAGCAAGUUCCAGACACCAAUGGUUUACUUUUCAUCCGAGCCCAUUUUGAUUAACAGUUUCAUGAAAAUAUCUAAAUCUAAUUGCACAUCGCCUAAUAUCAACUGGAGAAUAACAAAAGUAUAUGAGAAUAAUACUUUCGCUGCGUUUACUAAUUUUACUCAGCCGAAUACAUCCGUACUAAGAUUACAGACGGGGUCACUCACAACUGGAUUUUAUGUUGUGAGUUUAGAAGUUCUGUUUCCAGCAAUAAGCGAGUAUGAAUGGUCUGAAGAUUCCUUUGUGCUGCGAGUGGUUGAUCCGGAGCUUAAUGCACACAUAUCUGGUGGUGAAUUUCUCUACGUCCCCCGAGGGAUUGAGCUGUUGAUAUAUGCAGAUAAAUCCUAUGACCCUUUGGAUACUUCACUUUCUUUACCGCCACUGGAAGCCACAUGGUCAUUUGCAGUGUUUAAUUCAACAUCUAAAACCCUGACUGUCAAAGAUUUACAGACAUUCAUGAGAAAUUUUCCACAUAACUCGCUGCCUUCAAAUGGACUUAUUCAUAUGGUCAAGAGCGGAACUGAAUUUGUCUUAAAAGUCAACACAUCUUUAUUUCCUGCGAAGUCGUAUGGCAUGGCUAUGUUUACACUGUCACGUGGUACAAGAAUGGCGUCAGCACUGCAGGUGAUUCAAUUCAUGGACAACGUCCUUCCAAUGACAAUAGAAUGUGUGUAUAACUGUCAUACUGGGAGAGACCGAAUAUUUUACUAUGAUAAAGUUGAGCUUGAUGUGAACUUUCCGGUUGGUACCAUUACUACGGACUUCAGCUACACAUGGUCGAUCCUUGUUUGGAAUACAACUAAAUUAACAUCCCAGCAACUAGCAACGUUACCACCAUAUACAACACCAGAUUCAGCAAUUAACUUGGAGACAGGUUCAAACACAGCCUCAUUAGGUAUAAGAAAUGGCUCACUAGUUCAAGGAUACACAUACAAGAUUACCGUCACGGUUUCAAGUCGAUCUCAUGCCACAUCCGUGGCGGAGUUAAUAAGGACAGUAAAUCAUGUGCCUUCCGAUGGAACAUGCGAAUUAGAAUCUGGUAAAACAAAUGUGACAUCAGCACGUGAUUGGUUGACAUUUGCAUGCACGUCCUGGCGAAAAUAUGACGACGUUAUACCUAAUGCACCGACGGUUGAUGUAAACCCAAUUUUAUCAUUCACGGUACGGCAACGAACUGUGGGUGCGCUCGUAGAAGAAGAACCAAUUUUGCAAACAAGAUCACAAACUUCGUACGUCAUACUGAAGGUUGGUGAUCCAGACAACAAUUAUGAAACCGAAUUGCUGAUCCAAGUAACAGAUAUUUUCAAUAAUUAUAACCAACAAGCUCUUAAAAUAAUUGCGAACCCAGCCUUUGCGGUUGACGACGUUGGACCACACGAAGAUGGUGCUGUUAUUAUCCGGUCUUAUACUGAGGUUGAUUAUCCCUCCGACGAACAGCAACUCCGAGAUAUGGGUAAAAGUGACAUGAUGAUUUCCCUUGUUUCAGCAGUGUGCAGCAAUAUUCAUCUUGUUGACCUUGGAACGUGGGUGCCUCCUGUGCCAAGAGUUUUAAAUUCGGAUGGCUUCGUUAUCGAUCUGAACGCUGAAGGCAACAAAGACGUUGGAAAUCUUGAUAAUUUAAUAAGCGAUGCAGACAAUGAAACCAUAGAUCCGGCAACAUUGGCUAUACAAGAUGUAAUGAUGAGAAUGAUAUAUUUUACACGGAAUAUAGUUGAAACAGACUUUAAUGGAAGCAGGAGCGGCGACAAACUGCUUGCAUCACUUGUGACAAAUGCAUUUACAAACGUUGCUGCAAAGCCCCAGUAUCUUAAUUAUGAUAGCAUGAUAGAUCUCAUUUACAUGGCACGGAUAGUUGGAUUUGGUGCACUGCUGCCUCAGAACACAACCGGAGACUCGGCAGCUCAGACUGAAACAUCAUCCGGAGAAAUAUACUACAUGUUUCAAGCGAUUGUCAAGCUUCUAUUCCAGACGAUUUUGUAGAAAUACGAUCAGUUGAUGACCUUGUGUCAGGCAGGUCGCAAAUCAAUGAGAUGUUGUCGGCGUUGGGACAGAAUAUCAGUCCUUGACAACUCUGAGCUAUCUCCGGACGAAAGGGCAUAUCUCUACACACUAAUGCAGCGUCGACUUAAAUAUAACACGCAGGACAAAAAGCAAACAGCAAGGGAAGCGGCACACAUGGCAAUUGACUUAGCUCAAGAAGUCCAAAAUCAGUUGAAAUUGUGCAGGAUCUGUAGCAAUCAAAACAGUUCCCGCACUAAUCAGUUAAUUAAGAAGGGGAAAACGAGCUAUUUUGUGUCUGAGAUGACGGCGACUGCAACUUCUAAAUUCCGAAUUGACGGCCUCAACAAGUCACUUUGAAAAUGAAAGCAGUACAAAUAUAUUUGACACAGGUUUCAGUGUCAGUAUGUGAACAUUUGUAUAUUUAUUUUACUUGGCUAAAUGCACAUAUUUGCAGCCAGUUAUCAUGCUCUUUUUAGUUAGCAUAACAUAACAUAGCCCAAUUUCCGAACAAAAUGCCAACAAAUGGAUAAUGUAAGUCACAUCUAGCUAUAUUUCAAUCUUACUAAUUUUUGCAUCAUUUAACUAAUGAAGUUUUGGAUAUUUUUGCAUGACUUUUCUUUCACUUUUAUUGUUCAAAGUCUUAUUGAUAAAAAAUCCUCACUAUUUUCAGAUAAUAUGCGUGUUAAUAUUCUAUACUAUUUUAAAAUCUCGUAUCGCACUGUUCGCAGACAUCAGCGAAAGUAAAUCAAUCACAAUUAUGUCCAAAUCUACAAUAAUUUAUAACAAAAAUGUUGAUGUGAUUUUCGUCUGUUCUGUUGUUAACAUUGGCUCGAUUCUAAAAUCCCUUUGUAUCAAAUAAAAUUUCAAAAAUCAUUUUCAUGCUUAAUAAGAAUGCUUAAUCUGUCUUCUAAA